AAUCAUAGAAAAUGCUUUCCGUUGGUCAUCAUUCAACUUUAACUCUGCAUCUUGAUCUUCCUCAGGAAUUUGUAUCGACAUCUCAUCUUGUAUCUCUCUGGAACAAUUAUUUUCUAUAUUAGCAUCAUAAGAAGGAAUUGUGGGAAGAUCAUAUGAAUUUAUAUCUUUUCCCAUGCUCUCUAACAAAACUCUUAAGCUCAGCAAUGUCUUAGAAACACGUUGUCGGAUUGAAGUAUUGUCAUCCCUUUUAAAAUCUUCAGACAUUGCAUCAAAGUAAGUAUCCCAUAAAACUCUUACAUCUGCCGGUGCACAAUGUACCAAGAUUAUUGCAAACAACCUGCGUUGUUCAUUUGGCAUUUGAAAUGUUAUUGCCUCAUUCAUGCAAUCGAAAAUGCUAUGAUCAGCUUCUAAUAAACUCCUUUUUUGUGCCGCUUCUUUGAAUGUUGAGCAUUCUAUACCAUUAACCGUCAAUAAAUGUCGGAAAGAGAUACCCAUCGUGCAUCUUGAAAUUGUUUGAUUUCAUCAACUUGACGCGGCUCAUCAUCUUGGGUUAUAUGAACGGCCACCCUAUCAUGUCCCUUAUAGAUAUAUUUGUACAAAUACUUAACAGCUGUGAUACCAGAGCAUACCUCGACAUUAAUAUGGCAGUUGUAUCUGGACAAUAGAUGUGCAUUAUAUGGCACAACCCAUUGGUUGUCUAAGUCUGCAUUCCGAACACGUACAAUUGAUCCAUUUUUUCUUCUUCUGUAAAUUGGAUAUCCAUCUUUA